rnacentral:rRNA from 1 species
GACGAACCGUGCGAACGUUAUUCGGAAUCACUGGGCUUAAAGGGCGCGUAGGCGGGCCGUCGAGUCAGGGGUGAAAUCCCACGGCCCAACCGUGGAAGUGCCCCUGAUACCGACGGCCUCGAGGGGAUAGGGGCGUGCGGAACUCAGGGUGGAGCGGUGAAAUGCGUAGAUACUCUGAGGAACACCGGUGGCGAAAGCGGCGCGCUGGGUCCCUUCUGACGCUGAGGCGCGAAAGCCAGGGGAGCAAACGGG